rnacentral:rRNA from 1 species
ACAGCCCCGUACACAAAAGCGCAUGUGCUGUGAGCUCGAUGAGUAGGGCGGGACACGUGGUAUCCUGUCUGAAUAUGGGGGGACCAUCCUCCAAGGCUAAAUACUCCUGACUGACCGAUAGUGAACCAGUACCGUGAGGGAAAGGCGAAAAGAACCCCGGCGAGGGGAGUGAAAAAGAACCUGAAACCGUGUACGUACAAGCAGUGGGAGCCCCACCACUAAGCCAGUGGUGAACUCCACAUACGCAUCCUUUGCUGAGGAUACGGUUAACGGAGCGAAAGCGACGUUCAACCUCAAAAGAAGCAGAGGGGGCUUAGUGGUGGGGUGACUGCGUACCUUUUGUAUAAUGGGUCAGCGACUUAUAUUCUGUAGCAAGGUUAACCGAAUAGGGGAGCCGGAGGGAAACCGAGUCUUAACCGGGCGUUAAGUUGCAGGGUAUAGACCCGAAACCCGGUGAUCUAGCCAUGGGCAGGUUGAAGGUUGGGUAACACUAACUGGAGGACCGAACCGACUAAUGUUGAAAAAUUAGCGGAUGACCUGUGGCUGGGGGUGAAAGGCCAAUCAAACCGGGAGAUAGCUGGUUCUCCCCGAAAGCUAUUUAGGUAGCGCCUCGUGAACUCAUCUCCGGGGGUAGAGCACUGUUUCGGCUAGGGGGCCAUCCCGGCUUACCAACCCGAUGCAAACUGCGAAUACCGGAGAAUGUUAUCACGGGAGACACACGGCGGGUGCUAACGUCCGUCGUGAAGAGGGAAACAACCCAGACCGCCAGCUAAGGUCCCAAAGUCAUGGUUAAGUGGGAAACGAUGUGGGAAGGCCCAGACAGCCAGGAUGUUGGCUUAGAAGCAGCCAUCAUUUAAAGAAAGCGUAAUAGCUCACUGGUCGAGUCGGCCUGCGCGGAAGAUGUAACGGGGCUAAACCAUGCACCGAAGCUGCGGCAGCGAACGUAUCACCCAAGACAACUUUACGGAGUUGACGAUUGACGGAGCGAAGCGACGUCAAAGCGUUCAUUAAAGUCGAGUUGGCUUAGGGAUACGUUCGUUGGGUAGGGGAGCGUUCUGUAAGCCUGUGAAGGUGGCCUGUGAGGGUUGCUGGAGGUAUCAGAAGUGCGAAUGCUGACAUAAGUAACGAUAAUGCGGGUGAAAAACCCGCACGCCGGAAGACCAAGGGUUCCUGUCCAACGUUAAUCGGGGCAGGGUGAGUCGACCCCUAAGGCGAGGCCGAAAGGCGUAGUCGAUGGGAAACAGGUUAAUAUUCCUGUACUUGGUGUUACUGCGAAGGGGGGACGGAGAAGGCUAUGUUAGCCGGGCGACGGUUGUCCCGGUUUAAGCAUGUAGGCGGAGGUUCCAGGUAAAUCCGGUACCUUAUUAACGCUGAGGUGUGAUGACGAGGCACUACGGUGCUGAAG